rnacentral:rRNA from 1 species
UGGGGAAUAUUGCACAAUGGGCGCAAGCCUGAUGCAGCCAUGCCGCGUGUGUGAAGAAGGCCUUCGGGUUGUAAAGCACUUUCAGCGAGGAGGAAGGUGGUGAACUUAAUACGUUCAUCAAUUGACGUUACUCGCAGAAGAAGCACCGGCUAACUCCGUGCCAGCAGCCGCGGUAAUACGGAGGGUGCAAGCGUUAAUCGGAAUUACUGGGCGUAAAGCGCACGCAGGCGGUUUGUUAAGUCAGAUGUGAAAUCCCCGGGCUCAACCUGGGAACUGCAUUUGAAACUGGCAAGCUAGAGUCUCGUAGAGGGGGGCUAGAAUUCCAGGUGUAGCGGUGAAAUGCGUAGAGAUCUGGAGGAAUACCGGUGGCGAAGGCGGCCCCCUGGAUGAAGACUGACGCUCAGGUGCGAAAGCGUGGGGCAGCAAACAGGAUUAGAUACCCUGGUAGUCCACGCUGUAAACGAUGUCGAUUUUGGAGGUUGUGCCCUUGAGGCGUGGCUUCCGGAGCUAACGCGUUAAAGUCGACCGCCUGGGGAGUACGGCNCAAGGUUAAAACUUAAAUGAAUUGCGGGUCUAGCUGUUCC